rnacentral:rRNA from 1 species
GCCAGACUCCUACGGGAGGCAGCAGUGGGGAAUAUUGCACAAUGGGGGGAACCCUGACCGAGCAACGCCGCGUGAACGAAGAAGUUAUUCGUAAUGUAAAGUUCUUUUAUCAGGGAAGAAAGAGGAAUUUGACGGUACCUGAGGAAUAAGCUCCGGCUAACUACGUGCCAGCAGCCGCGGUAAUACGUAGGGGGCAAGCGUUAUCCGGAUUUACUGGGUGUAAAGGGAGCGUAGACGGCUAAUCAAGUCAGAAGUGAAAACCCAGGGCUCAACCUUGGGAGUGCUUUUGAAACUGAGUAGCUAGAGUGCAGGAGAGGUAAGCGGAAUUCCUAGUGUAGCGGUGAAAUGCGUAGAUAUUAGGAGGAACACCAGUGGCGAAGGCGGCUUACUGGACUGUAACUGACGUUGAGGCUCGAAAGCGUGGGGAGCAAACAGGAUUAGAUACCCCUGUA